GCCUUCUCUUCAAGCUAAACAAGCCCAGUUCCCUCAACCCUUCCUCAUAGGAGAGGUGCUCCAGCUCUCUGAGAUGACAGCAUGCAAAGACAGACCAGUGACACCUCAGAGUGUGCCUGAAUCCUUCACUUGGAAGAAAGCUGUCCUAAAGGCUCAUUGUUUUUGAGGAUGAUGCUCCUACAGCAUCACUGUUCUGCACUGCGGCUGGACACAAAUGUGGGCACAGGACAACACUGGCACAGCCAAACCUUCAGGAUUUCACAUAUUUUUGGAGCAGCCUGGCACGAGGUCACUCUUAACACAGGGGUAUCUCCAGCUUCCAACACAUCUCCCAUGGACAGAAAUGACUUUGUUAGGAAAAGCAAAAAAUGCCUACCCCACAGGGAUGUCACACCACUUAGCUAAUGCUUGUAAAAAGCCAUAAACAGCUUAAUGAAGGCUCACUGUUAUGAGGCAUGGGGAGUACUCACAGCCUGUGUCUCAGCAGUGCUUGGUCAGCUAUGGAUGGCUCCAAGGCCCCACUGCCAGCACGUGAGAGCCUGAGCACCUCAGUGGGAAGGAACCCAAGAAACAGCCACACUGCUCCCACCUCGUGCUCGGAGGAAAGAUUCUGGUUGGGAUUUCACAUAUUCACCUGCAAAACAGCACACUGCUUCAAUCUAAUAACAGCCUAACAAUGCCGUGCUGCUAUGGAUGCCCACCACACCACGAGCUUCUACGGCUUCUGCUAUCACAGCUUUUAAAAGUCAUUCACAACUGGAUCACCUCAGGUUGAAACGCGCACAUUUAGCACUGUCUGCAGCAAUUUCUCCUUGAAGUGGUGAAAUAAGGCAGGGGUUUAUGAGGCAAUAAACCCAGUGCAUCAGUAAGGUGCGUCUGGAGCUCCUCCGAACCAUUGGUUGGUGGUGGCUGUCACUGCUCCCCAUGCUGCCAGAAGUCACUGUCCUCUGCUCAGGGCUGAGCACCUCCCUCACCCUCAGGGAUCAGAGCUCAGGCUGCUCACUGAACCCCAGUUAAACAGCCACCAUUGACCUUGCCUGAAGCAGGGGAGGAGCGCUCACACCAGCUGCUUUCCAGGAAGACGAGAUGAAAUAGGGACCUCUGGCACUGGAGCAAAGCAGCCACGGGCUGAGCUCCUGCCCAGAGCUGCAAGCAAUGCACACAGGGUGAGCAGCACCAGCACCAAGCUCCUCUGUGCAGAUGAGCUCCUGAAGGGGCCUGGGUUUAAACAUGACAGAAUUAGUCAAACACAUUUCCGAAGAGCAUAUUUUAGAAGCGUAUUAACCCAAUUUCAACUAUUUUGGGCUUUUUUUUUUUUAAUUGAAGAUUUACACCAACAAACAAACCAAGGUGUAUUUGGCUUCAGUAAUGUAGACUCCAAACAAUGGUAAAAGGUUCUUGAUAAAUUAGCCCCCCAUUGUGAGAUAUUCCAAAAAUAUAAAAGGCACCAAGUGUUGCUUAAAUCAGGAAAAGCAAGAGAAGAGGAAGGGUCAGUGAGCCGGCAGCACCCUUCUGCUGUACGUGGGCAUUUUGGGACAGAGCUCUGAGCUCCAGCAUCCAACCCAGAGGUGUUGCACAGAAUGGUUUCAGCCUGAUUCAUCGCUUUUUGUUGUCCUGCUCAGAAAGGAUGGCUGAGUUCACUGCUGCUGGAAACAUUUCCCCCUGUUUUGCUGUCGUGCCUGAACACGCUGUCAUACUUCACAAGUGUGGUCCUCUGCUAGGAAGGCAGCAAGCCCUUGGUGUUAGCUCAUGUCAGAGAUGACUCCUGUAUGAGAAAAUCUUUUUUUUUUUUUCUUUUUUUUUGCGAACAAACUCAGACUUCAUACCCACAACCCGAACACAGAUUAAUUCUCCUCGUCACCUCACCAUGACGCAGCCAGCUCUGCUUCCAGGAGCUGUUCCCAUGGCUCUGCUUGGCACCGAAUCACGCCAGUCAACGUGUGCCAACUGCUUUAUCAGUUAUGUGCAAACGCGAGAGGAGAGGAAAGCACUGGGAACAAACAACAGUAUGCUGCUAAAACCUUCUGAACCACAAGCAUUUUGGAGCCUUCCUAAUUCAGCUUGCCUAUGCAAUAAGCUUUCCAAAGGCCAACCCUAUCCAGACCAGCAGCAUGGCAUGAAAUCUUCACUUCCAGCACAAAAGCAAACUGAAUAGAAAAAGAAAUGAAAUGCAGCAGUCCCAGAGAUGGGCUCACACACCAACAAACCCACAGCCCAGCAGUGCCCAGAACCUAACCCAGAGCUCCAGCACCACACCAGGCACUCCGAGGUGCCCUACAUGUGGGUACAAACUCAAAGCAAAGCAAGAAACAGGUGUCUUCCAUUGGGACUUGAGCAUUUCCUGCUCGCUCAAGGCAGGACACAGUAACCAAAACUGUAUUAGGAAACUUUACAGUUCCAGCCCAAGGAAAAUGUUUCCUUUUGCGUCAAAAGCAAAUGUACUUCACUUUGUCUUUCGCUUUUAAACUUGGGCUUUUAAAUCAACAUCAUAAAAGACAGCAGCAACUGAAGAUGACUGUCAGCAUCAAGUGCAUUUGAAUACUCCCUUUGCAGUGCACAUGUUUUAAUUUUCAACUGAAUUUGGGUUGGGUGGGUGUUCCCCAGCCUAGUUUCUGAAUUCUGUUUUCUUAAGAUUGGGGCAUGCUGACAUCACAAUGCGCUGCUGCACGCGGACAGCAGGAAGCCUUCGAGGCGAUGUGUGCUCCCUAACGAGGAGGGAAAUAAGUACCAGAGAGAGAAAGGGUGGGCUGAGCAGAGCAGAACCACGCUGGGGCCUUCGGGAAGCAGCAGCAGAUCCACAUGAUGGGCAGGGAAACAACAUGUGCAAAAACGUGACCAUGUCUGCCUCUACCUGAACCCUUCCAAAGCCAGGCAGUGACAGGCAGUGAGGAAAAUAAGGGAUCUGAUCAUCUGUGUGAGGGCUGAAGGGACAGACACCCAUCUGCUCACUCUCUCUGUGUGAGGCUACUCCCAGGCUGACAUCCCAGUGAGCACACGGACUUGGCACACACGUCAGUGCUUCCAGCAAUAAAGUCUGCAGUGCCUCCAAAAGUACCAAAGGUAAAACACCACCAAAAGCUCAUGAAAAACAAGAUGAACGUCAGAGAAAAGGCACAGAAGCAAAGCAACCCGCAGCUCCCCGCAUUCUCCACAUAGAAUGCAACAGCAGUCCUGGUUUGUGAGGAGUUUCAGCAUGACUCCCAAAAGCUGAGUGGGGAGGGGAAUGCAUCCUGCUCCUCCAUGGCAGAUGCAGGGACUGUGUGACCGCUCCCAACCAGAUCAGGCAAAUUAAAAGAGACCACAGGAAGAAAUAAAAAGGAAACAAGGGAAAAUAA